rnacentral:rRNA from 1 species
UACGUAGGGGGCAAGCGUUGUCCGGAUUUAUUGGGCGUAAAGAGCGUGUAGGCGGCUAGAUAGGUCCGUUGUGAAAACUCGAGGCUCAACCUCGAGACGUCGAUGGAAACCAUCUAGCUAGAGUCCGGAAGAGGAGAGUGGAAUUCCUGGUGUAGCGGUGAAAUGCGCAGAUAUCAGGAAGAACACCCGUGGCGAAGGCGGCUCUCUGGUACGUGACUGACGCUGAGACGCGAAAGCGUGGGGAGCAAACAGG